UACGGGGGGGAGCAAGCGUUGUUCGGAUUUACUGGGCGUAAAGGGCGCGUAGGCGGCGCAACAAGUCACUUGUGAAAUCUCCGGGCUUAACCCGGAGCGGCCAAGUGAUACUGUCGUGCUAGAGUGCGGAAGGGGCUACUGGAAUUCUCGGUGUAGCGGUGAAAUGCGCAGAUAUCGGGAAGAACACCUAUGGCGAAGGCAGCUCUCUGGGACGGUACUGACGCUGAGGUGCGAAAGCGUGGGGAGCAAACAGG
rnacentral:rRNA from 1 species